rnacentral:rRNA from 1 species
AUGAACGCUGGCGGCGUGCCUAAUACAUGCAAGUCGAGCGCACGGGCGAGAAGCUUGCUUCUCUGAUGUUAGCGGCGGACGGGUGAGUAACACGUGGAUAACCUACCUAUAAGACUGGGAUAACUUCGGGAAACCGGAGCUAAUACCGGAUGAUAUUUUGAACCGCAUGGUUCAAAAGUGAAAGACGGUCUUGCUGUCACUUAUAGAUGGAUCCGCGCUGCAUUAGCUAGUUGGUAAGGUAACGGCUUACCAAGGCAACGAUGCAUAGCCGACCUGAGAGGGUGAUCGGCCACACUGGAACUGAGACACGGUCCAGACUCCUACGGGAGGCAGCAGUAGGGAAUCUUCCGCAAUGGGCGAAAGCCUGACGGAGCAACGCCGCGUGAGUGAUGAAGGUCUUCGGAUCGUAAAACUCUGUUAUUAGGGAAGAACAUAUGUGUAAGUAACUGUGCACAUCUUGACGGUACCUAAUCAGAAAGCCACGGCUAACUACGUG